GUUUUGGUAAUUCACUGAUUUUUUUUUUUUCUCAGCCUUCAAUUCAAGGGAACUUUAUUUGAAAUCAAGGAUGAGAGCGUACCUAACCACAACCAUCCAUACAAGCAGGAAUUAAAAAGAUUUAAAAAAAAAAAUCAGUGAAUUACCAAAACAGGAGUUUCUAAUUCAUUCCAGAUACAGAUCAUACAUUUCAAAGCCCACACCUCAGAAACAAAAAAGCAUCCUACAAAAUCAGCUCAGAGGUGAUUGCCCGUCGAAACAAUGCUUCAUAGUUGUGGGAAUAUGGAGUCCACAAAAGCAUGGUGCAUUGGGUCCAACAGCCAGCUUUUAGCUACAUGCUGGUGAGAUGAGGUACGCCUGUGAAUUUCUUCAACCAGCCAAAUGGUGGCUUCAGCCUUACAAGGAUGAAUUGUGAUAUCCAAGGGCUUUUGUUCAUCCUCACUGCCAAUUCUCAGAUGAUCCCACUGCUUUAGAAGAAUGUUAGUGAGGUAAUGCAAGGGUUGCCCAUAUAAUUGCUUAAUUGAUUUGCCUAAUCCCACCCAUGAUGAAAAUGGAAUGACAGAGCCAUGACGUGCUGGCAUAGGGAGCUGCCUCAUAUAUUCUUGAUACAUUUCCGCUCUUUUGAUCAGUACAUCCUCAGAUGUCAUUUCUUUUGUAGGUUGAUCAAGUGUAAUAUUAAGGGACAGUUGCUGACCCUCAACUCCAUCAUUGAUCUCCANNNNNNNNNNAUUCAUCUGAUGAUAUAACAUCAAUCUGCUCACUCCAUGGCAGUGUCCUCUUCAUAGUACGUUCAAU
rnacentral:misc_RNA from 1 species